UGGGGAAUAUUGCACAAUGGGCGCAAGCCUGAUGCAGCCAUGCCGCGUGUAUGAAGAAGGCCUUCGGGUUGUAAAGUACUUUCAGCGGGGAGGAAGGGAGUAAAGUUAAUACCUUUGCUCAUUGACGUUACCCGCAGAAGAAGCACCGGCUAACUCCGUGCCAGCAGCCGCGGUAAUACGGAGGGUGCAAGCGUUACUCGGAAUUACUGGGCGUAAAGCGCACGCAGGCGGUUUGUUAAGUCAGAUGUGAAAUCCCCGGGCUCAACCUGGGAACUGCAUCUGAUACUGGCAAGCUUGAGUCUCGUAGAGGGGGGUAGAAUUCCAGGUGUAGCGGUGAAAUGCGUAGAGAUCUGGAGGAAUACCGGUGGCGAAGGCGGCCCCCUGGACGAAGACUGACGCUCAGGUGCGAAAGCGUGGGGAGCAAACA
rnacentral:rRNA from 1 species